CUCCGACGGCCUCCCGCAGUCCCCGGCUGUCGGGAGUGGAGGGCACGCAGGGGGCGGGAAGAAGAGUCCAGAGGGGUCCCCUGCCUGGAGUUCCUCCCCAGAUUUGGCCAGGACUGGAGACGGGUGGGAGAACCAGCUGCAGGGACAAGUGGAUGAAAUGACGCUGGAGUAGGAGGCGGGAGGAGAGACAAAAAAAAGACCACAGAUACCUACCUCAGGACAGGGGAC